ACCCUUUAAUGUUUGAUGUUCUAACGUGGACCCGUGAUCCGGGUUGCGGACAGUGUCUGGUGGGUAGUUUGACUGGGGCGGUCUCCUCCUAAAGAGUAACGGAGGAGCACGAAGGUUGGCUAAUCCUGGUCGGACAUCAGGAGGUUAGUGCAAUGGCAUAAGCCAGCUUGACUGCGAGCGUGACGGCGCGAGCAGGUGCGAAAGCAGGUCAUAGUGAUCCGGUGGUUCUGAAUGGAAGGGCCAUCGCUCAACGGAUAAAAGGUACUCCGGGGAUAACAGGCUGAUACCGCCCAAGAGUUCAUAUCGACGGCGGUGUUUGGCACCUCGAUGUCGGCUCAUCACAUCCUGGGGCUGAAGUAGGUCCCAAGGGUAUGGCUGUUCGCCAUUUAAAGUGGUACGCGAGCUGGGUUUAGAACGUCGUGAGACAGUUCGGUCCCUAUCUGCCGUGGGCGCUGGAGAACUGAGGGGGGCUGCUCCUAGUACGAGAGGACCGGAGUGGACGCAUCACUGGUGUUCGGGUUGUCAUGCCAAUGGCACUGCCCGGUAGCUAAAUGCGGAAGAGAUAAGUGCUGAAAGCAUCUAAGCACGAAACUUGCCCCGAGAUGAGUUCUCCCUGAGACUUAAAGUCUCCUGAAGGAACGUUGAAGACGACGACGUUGAUAGGCCGGGUGUGUAAGCGCAGCGAUGCGUUGAGCUAACCGGUACUAAUGAACCGUGAGGCUUAACCUUA
rnacentral:rRNA from 1 species